rnacentral:rRNA from 1 species
CACGUAGGGCGCAAGCGUUGUCCGGAAUUAUUGGGCGUAAAGAGCUCGUAGGCGGUUCAGUAAGUCGGGUGUGAAAACUUUGGGCUUAACCCAAAGCGUGCAUCCGAUACUGCUGUGACUUGAGUUCGGUAGGGGAGUGGGGAAUUCCUAGUGUAGCGGUGAAAUUCGUAGAUAUUCGCAAGAACACCAGUGGCGAAGGCGGCUCACUGGCCCGGUACUGACGCUGAGGUGCGAAAGCGUGGGGAGCAAACAGG